rnacentral:misc_RNA from 1 species
GUCAUUUUUUCAGGAAUUGUGAUGCAUCAGCAUGGCAGAAGAUAAAGAUUGCUCGGAGGGACCUAAGGUUGAUUGUCAAGUAAGUCAGAACAUAAACAGUCUCAGGCUCAGCUCACUCUAUUCUUGUCAAGUUAUUUUUGGAAAGAUGAUGCCAGUGUGAUCACAAGCACCAAACUGCAGCCACUUUCAGAGGAACAGCAUGCACUACUGAAGAAACAAGAGUCACGGGGCCUUGUGAGUGAGUUCAAACGGCUCAAGUUGGAACAAGAAGCAGCGAAGAAUUGGGAUAAGUUUUACAAACGCAAUGAGACAAGAUUUUACAAAGACCGCCACUGGACCACACGAGAGUUCAAAGAGUUGGUUGGAUGCGUACAAGACGGAAAACAGAAAGUUCUUUUUGAGAUAGGCUGUGGGGUUGGCAACUUCUUCUAUCCUCUUAUAGAGGAUGGUCUUGACUGGUAUGUGCACGCCUGUGACUUUUCACAGAGAGCCAUUGACUUUGUUAAGUCACAUCAGUUAUAUGAUGACUCACGGGUACAUGCCUUUGUUCAUGACAUCACCUCAAAAUCACUGUCAGAACAAGUACCAGAUGGGUCUGUGGAUAUAGUGUCUCUGAUCUUUGUUCUCUCUGCAAUCAAUCCAGACAAGCUGUGCUCUGUCGUCAAAAACAUCUCACAAUGCGUCAGGGAUGGAGGCAUGGUAAUCAUCCGUGAUUAUGGAAGAUACGACGUUGCUCAGCUACGCUUUGGGGCUGGCCACAAGCUGUCAGAAAACUUCUAUGUGCGACAAGAUGGUACAAGGGCCUACUACUUCACCACGGACGAGCUGACGUCGCUGUUUACUGAAGCCGGCUUCGACGUGACGUCUUGCGAGUAUGUCUCGCGACGAACUGUCAACAAGAAGGAGGGCGUCGACGUAUCCCGCACCUUUGUCCAGGGGAAGUUUCGGAGAAGAGCAAGGUAACAGUUUGGAUAGCGCGGCCCUCUGGAAAACGUUUUUGGUGGAGUGGAAUAGUCUGGAUCGCCGUCGGGUUUCGUUUCAGGGCAUGGCAGCACUCCGCCAAAGCAAGGCCGAUGCUCGCAUCCAGCUCCGCUCCAUUCCCGAUAAAAAAGUUUACGAGAGCGUUUUCUCUCGUCUCCGCGUUGACUGAUGCGAUGCGAUCUG